UCCCUCAUCAACCGGAAGGGAUCCCUUCUGGUUGAUGAGGAAGAUUGAACUCAUCAACCAGAAGGAAUUCCUUCCGGUUGAUGAGGUU
rnacentral:miRNA from 1 species